rnacentral:rRNA from 1 species
CCCUUAGAUGUUCUGGGCCGCACGCGCGCUACACUGAUGCAUUCAACGAGCCUAUCCUUGACCGACAGGUCCGGGUAAUCUUUGAAUCUGCAUCGUGACGGGGAUAGAUUAUUGCAAUUAUUAAUCUUCAACGAGGAAUGCCUAGUAGGCGCAAGUCACCAGCUCGCAUUGAUUACGUCCCUGCCCUUUGUACACACCGCCCGUCGCACCUACCGAUUGAAUGGUCCGGUGAAAUCUUCGGACCGGGCGAUAGUCAGCAAUGACCGUUGCCUGGAAAGUUGCUUAAACCUUACCAUUUAGAGGAAGGUGAAGUCGUAACA